AAUUUCCGGUUGAUCGAGUUCCAAGAAGGUUUAAGACCUGUAAGGUAUUUAACAUUAUGUCAAUUGGUUUAUUCUUACGAGUCGGGUUGUUUGGAAACGCAGCCCAAAGUAGGUGGUAAACUCCAUCUAAAGCUAAAUAUAACCGUGAGACCAAUAGUAAACAAGUACCGUGAGGGAAAGUUGAAAAGCACUCUGAAGAGAGAGUUAAAAGAACGUGAAAACGAUUAAGUGGAAGCAAACAGGUCUAUUUGAAGAUAUAUAGUUUUCUAUAUAUCUGCUAAUACAUAUGUAGAGCUAUUAUUAUUCUAUUUUAAGAGGACUCUAUAUGAGAACCCUUAUGAUGGUUGAACGUUGUCUCUGUAUAUGAAUAUUAGCAUUUAUGAUGGUUACCUGUUUGACCCGUCUUGAAACACGGACCAAGAAGUUUAUUGUAUACGCGAGUCAUUAAGUGUAAAAACUUAUUGGCAUAAUGAAAGUAAAGGUUUACUUGUUAAACUGAUGUAUGAUAAAGUGUUUACGGACAUUUUAGCAGUACAGUCCUAUUCUUAUGGCUUGCCAUGGAGUGGAGAUAGAGCGUAUGCAAUGAGACCCGAAAGAUGGUGAUCUAUGCUGGAGGGGAAUAAAAGCCGGAGGAAAACUCCUGGUGGAAGUCCGUAACGGUUUGGGGGGGAAAAAG
rnacentral:rRNA from 1 species